rnacentral:rRNA from 1 species
CUCCCCGUUGCUGACCCCAGGUUCGAUAGCGCCAAUUAGGCGCCACCUUCGCCAAGAACCAGCUUCGGUGAAGCGACGGGCGGUGUGUGCAAGGAG